rnacentral:rRNA from 1 species
AUUGAACGCUGGCGGCAGGCUUAACACAUGCAAGUCGAGCGGAGAUGAGGUGCUUGCACCUUAUCUUAGCGGCGGACGGGUGAGUAAUGCUUAGGAAUCUGCCUAUUAGUGGGGGACAACAUUCUGAAAGGAAUGCUAAUACCGCAUACGUCCUACGGGAGAAAGCAGGGGAUCUUCGGACCUUGCGCUAAUAGAUGAGCCUAAGUCGGAUUAGCUAGUUGGUGGGGUAAAGGCCUACCAAGGCGACGAUCUGUAGCGGGUCUGAGAGGAUGAUCCGCCACACUGGGAAUGAGACACGGCCCAGACUCCUACGGGAGGCAGCAGUGGGGAAUAUUGGACAAUGGGGGGAACCCUGAUCCAGCCAUGCCGCGUGUGUGAAGAAGGCCUUAUGGUUGUAAAGCACUUUAAGCGAGGAGGAGGCUACUGAGACUAAUACUCUUGGAUAGUGGACGUUACUCGCAGAAUAAGCACCGGCUAACUCUGUGCCAGCAGCCGCAGUAACAC